AUUGAACGCUGGCGGCAUGCUUUACACAUGCAAGUCGAACGGCAGCGCGGGGGCAACCCUGGCGGCGAGUGGCGAACGGGUGAGUAAUGCAUCGGAACGUAUCCUGUAAUGGGGGAUAACGUAGCGAAAGUUACGCUAAUACCGCAUACGCUCGAGAGAGGAAAGUGGGGGAUCGCAAGACCUCACGUUAUAGGAGCGGCCGAUGUCCGAUUAGCUAGUUGGUGGGGUAAAGGCCUACCAAGGCGACGAUCGGUAGCUGGUCUGAGAGGAUGAUCAGCCACACUGGGACUGAGACACGGCCCAGACUCCUACGGGAGGCAGCAGUGGGGAAUUUUGGACAAUGGGCGAAAGCCUGAUCCAGCCAUGCCGCGUGCGGGAAGAAGGCCUCGGUUGUAACGCUUAGUCGGAAACGGGUAGGCGAGGAUAAUAACCUCGUGCUUGUAUGGUACUGGAAGAAUAAGACACCGGCUAACUACGUGCCAGCAGCCGCGGUAAUAU
rnacentral:rRNA from 1 species